GUGGCCAUAGCUCAGUCGGUUAGAGCGCAUGGUUGUGGUCCAUGAGGUCGCCGGUUCGAAUCCGGCUGGCCACCCCA
rnacentral:tRNA from 1 species